CUGGGUUACAACUGCAUGCAGCUCUUAAGGACCCUCUCAAUGCACUUUUACAGGCAUGUUCAUCCAGGAUCCAUAACCCUGAUCCUGAUCCAAGACACUCCUCAGCUUCCAACCAGCCUCCUACCCUACUUCCUAGCAAUAACCGCCACUCAAGGUUUUGGAACUCAACUGAUUUCUUGUCAAACUGGUCAGCGGUUCUUGACAGAAGAAAGUCUCUGUUCUCCGCCUUGACUAUGUUGGCGCAUCCUUCAAAGGGCGCAGUCAUGUCUGCUACGGACAUCAGAAGAUGUUAAUGAUCCAGACAGCAGACACUGACCCUUCACCCUGUACCCUCCGAUGGAGCUUGCGCAUUGAUCUUCCGGACACGUUGGUGAGAGGAUGUACACGGGUGAAGAAUGCUGUCAGCGGCUGGCAGGGCGUUGUGUAUCCUUGCAGAAGGGAGCUCUGUGUAUCUCUGUUUGUGUUCCUGAGCAGGGCUCUCUGACCUAACUUUUUAAUAGAAUUUCUGCCAAGUUCAACUUGGGAGGGGUGAUUUACUAUUCUAAGCAUAAACGUUAGCCAGUCAUGGGGUGAAGCUACACUUUCAUGACAGGCGCCAAGAACAUGUUAAUAACAUGAAGCCUCUCUACGCGUCUCCACCCAUCACGGCCUCCAGGGAGCUGCACUUUGUAUCUGGAACCAAUUUCACAUUAAACAUCGCCUGGAAGUCUUACCUCUCAGAUUAGCCAGUUACUUUCUUUUUUUCUAACUACAUAAAUCCAUUAUUAUCCAAACUUAACAGCAAAAUGAAUUCUCCAGUGGUAUCUGAGGACUGUUAACUCCUAGAAAUAUAAUUCUGUUCCAGUCAAAAUUUAAGCCAAAUAAAGUUCACUGUGUUGACA
rnacentral:lncRNA from 1 species